ACGCCCACAUUACGUUGAAAUAUUGGCUCCAGUUCGACAAACGAAGUUAAGCAAUGUCGAGCCUGGUCAGUACCUAGAUGGGUGACCGCUUGGGAAUACUAGAUGCUGUAA